AUUGAACGCUGGCGGCAUGCCUUACACAUGCAAGUCGAACGGCAGCGGGGGAGAAGCUUGCUUUUCCUGCCGGCGAGUGGCGAACGGGUGAGUAAUACAUCGGAACGUGCCCUGUAGUGGGGGAUAACUAGUCGAAAGAUUAGCUAAUACCGCAUACGACCUGAGGGUGAAAGUGGGGGACCGCAAGGCCUCAUGCUAUAGGAGCGGCCGAUGUAUGAUUAGCUAGGUGGUGGGGUAAAGGCCUACCAAGGCGACGAUCAGUAGCUGGUCUGAGAGGACGAUCAGCCACACUGGGACUGAGACACGGCCCAGACUCCUACGGGAGGCAGCAGUGGGGAAUUUUGGACAAUGGGCGAAAGCCUGAUCCAGCAAUGCCGCGUGUGUGAAGAAGGCCUUCGGGUUGUAAAGCACUUUUGUCCGGAAAGAAAUGGCUCUGGUUAAUACCUGGGGUCGAUGACGGUACCGGAAGAAUAAGGACCGGCUAACUACGUGCCAGCCGCCGCGGUAA
rnacentral:rRNA from 1 species